UACGUAGGGGGCAAGCGUUAUCCGGAUUUACUGGGUGUAAAGGGGGCGCAGACGGCGAUGCAAGCCAGGAGUGAAAGCCCGGGGCCCAACCCCGGGACUGCUCUUGGAACUGCGUGGCUGGAGUGCAGGAGGGGCAACUGGAAUUCCUAGUGUAGCGGUGGAAUGCGUAGAUAUUAGGAGGAACACCAGUGGCGAAGGCGAGUUGCUGGACUGUAACUGACACUGAGGCACGAAAGCGUGGGGAGCAAACAGG
rnacentral:rRNA from 1 species